rnacentral:lncRNA from 1 species
CAGACUUCAUAUAUCAUCAUCAGUUUCAUACACAUAUAUCAUCAUCAGUUUCAUACAUAUAUAUACAAGGCUACAAUAGUACCAACCACAAAAGGGCCUGCCAACUACAACAAUACUAGCAAAAUACAUCAACUUGCAACUACCACCACAUGUAUUCUCAUUCCUAAGCCAUACCGGAUACAGAAGUCCACAAACACCUAUAGUCUAAUGUUAUCGUGUUGUUUGAACAUGGCUGGUUGCGUCAACGGUCUCAUCGACAUCAACAUUUCCAGUGACGUCAUUCUCCUCGCUUGAAACCAUGACAUCAUUGUUUCCAUCAACCGCUUGCGAACCAGCUUGAGAUGAGUUAUUUGUCCCCUGAAUCGAGCCCAAGUUACCAAAUUUUUAUUUAAUCUGAUUUACAACAAUAAAACGUAAUACUUUGUUGGAUGACAAAGUCGGAGUUGCUUGCUAUGUGAUUAGGGAUAGCGAUGAUGGCUGGCACGGAGAGGUGAUGAUGACGAACUGUGCGUCGUGUUGGAAAUUCUUCUGGCUGGGAGCGCCAUUGCUGGAAAGUUCAAGCUGGGGGAAAAAUAUCAACCGAAAACUACUUUUGGGUAGCCACUCAGAAACAUCACCCUCAUAGACAAGUCAAGCCACCACCAUCCGUUGAGGAAGGCUAUUUAUGACGGUGUGACUCCUCACCAGAGCGCGUCGUCGC